rnacentral:rRNA from 1 species
CAGCCAAGUCGUGAGGCGGAGCUAAUCCCUUAAAGCCAUUCUCAGUUCGGAUUGUUAGGCUGAAACUCGCCUACAUGAAGCUGGAGUUACUAGUAAUCGCAGAUCAGAAUGCUGCGGUGAAUGCGUUCCCGGGUCUUGUACACACCGCCCGUCACACCACGGAAGUUGGGGGCGCCCGAAGCCACUUAGCUAACCCUUUUGGGAAGCGAGUGUCGAAGGUGAAAUCAAUAACUGGGGUGAAGUCGUAACAAGGUAGC